UAAUCACUGCUGUAUAUAUGAGCUCUAUUACUUGGUCUUUACAGGACACCGGUAUCAGUGUACGGAAAUGAGUGAUCAAGACAAUAUCAAGACAUCUGUGUGGAGCAACCCACAUUCAGUAAGAUCACCGAGAUGUGUGUGAGGAUGAUCCGCAGCGCCAAUGACGAAGAUGGUAUCAAGAAACUGGUGAAUGAGACAUUCCAGACGUUGUGGUUCACUCCAACUCCAGCCCAUGACGACAAAUAGGCAAGUGAAAUCACUCAUCAGCCAUUAACCAGGGUUCAAAUAUUGUUUAAAUCUGUGGACAGUUGGCAGCGUGUCGAGACACUGGCUACGACUGGUUUGAGCAACUUUUCCAGAAUCUUCUCAAGAGGAUGCAUCAUAUAAACCAACCAAGAAGGCCUGUGUUCAACUAGUUGACAAUCUGGUAGAACAUAUCCUAAAAUAUGAGGAGUCACUUGCUGAGAACAAAGUUGUGAGCUCAACACGCCUAGUAGCGUGGAUCACCACCUUAUACUUGUUCAGCAAAAUCAUGACCCAGCUGAUGGUCAGACAUGCCAUGACCAUGCAACCCUUCCUGACCACAAAG